GACGAACGCUGGCGGCGUGCCUAACACAUGCAAGUCGAACGGAAAGGCCCUGCUUAUGUGGGCUGCUCGAGUGGCGAACGGGUGAGUAACACGUGAGUAACCUGUCAUUGACUUUGGGAUAACCUCAGGAAACUGGGGCUAAUACCGGAUAGGAGCUCUCGCUGCUUGGUGGGCGUUGGAAAGUUUCGGCGGUUGGGGAUGGACUAGCGGCUUAUCGGCUUGUUGGUGGGGUAGUGGCUUACCAAGGCUUUGACCGGUAGCAGGCCUGAGAGGGUGACCGGCCCAGUUAGGCCUGGAAUGCGACACGGCCCCGAACGGGAGGGGAGGGAGGAGAGGGGUAUACAGUGGGAGGGGCGCAAGUGUGACAACGCCACGUGGGGGAAGUCAUGAAUGGGGUAGUAUUGCACAGUCGCUUUAGACGAGACGUUAGUGACGGUACUGGGUGAAGAAGCACCGGCUAACUACGUG
rnacentral:rRNA from 1 species